CCCUUAGAUGUUCUGGGCUGCAUGCGCGCUACACUGAUGCAUCCAACAAGUUUUUUCCUUGUUCGAGAGGACUAGGUAAUCUUAUGAGAAUGCAUCGUGAUGGGGAUAGAUUAUUGCAAUUAUUAAUCUUCAACGAGGAAUUCCUAGUAAGCGCGAGUCAUCAGCUCGUGCUGAUUACGUCCCUGCCCUUUGUACACACCGCCCGUCGCUGCAACUGAUUGGGUGACCUGGUGAACAUCUUGGACCGGCCCACUCAAUUUCGAGAGGACUGGAAAAGGCCGUAAAUCAGGUACAUCUAGAAAUUGCAAAAGUCGUAACA
rnacentral:rRNA from 1 species